rnacentral:rRNA from 1 species
CAGUAGCCGCGGUAACACGUAGGGUGCGAGCGUUAAUCGGAAUUACUGGGCGUAAAGCGUGCGCAGGCGGUUCGCUAAGACAGAUGUGAAAUCCCCGGGCUUAACCUGGGAACUGCAUUUGUGACUGGCGGGCUAGAGUAUGGCAGAGGGGGGUAGAAUUCCACGUGUAGCAGUGAAAUGCGUAGAGAUGUGGAGGAAUACCGAUGGCGAAGGCAGCCCCCUGGGCCAAUACUGACGCUCAUGCACGAAAGCGUGGGGAGCAAACAGGAUUAGAUACCCCUGUAGUCCCUGUCUCUUAUAC